rnacentral:sRNA from 1 species
GGGGGUGUUCCGGAUUCGAUUCCCGUCGAGAGGGCGUGGUUGCACGCGGAGGAUGAUGCUUGGCCUCCUUAAUCACGCAUCGCCACGAUAACUGGCAAAACGACUAACGUCAUCGCCUUUGAGCCUAACAACUCUCUGGCAUUCGCGGCUUAGUUCCGCGACGGUUCCGGCGGCAGACUCCUGCUAAGUCGCCGAGCCGUCUAAAAAGCAGGAAAUCCCUCCGUUUGUCUUCGGUCUUUUUGAGGUAAAAGAACAAUAACCGGAUAGUCCGCACGGGUGCUCCUGCCCAACUGCGGAUGAACUUCAACCAGAGAGAGAAGCGUGUGGAUACUACGUCUAAUGGACUGGAAGACGCGGGUUCAACUCCCGCCACCUCCACCA